rnacentral:rRNA from 1 species
UACGUAGGCAGCGAGCGUUGUUCGGAGUUACUGGGCGUAAAGGGUGUGUAGGCGGUUCUUUAAGUUUGGUGUGAAAUCUCCCGGCUCAACCGGGAGGGUGCGCCGAAAACUGGGGGACUAGAGUGCGGGAUGGGAGAGUAGAAUUCCUGGUGUAGCGGUGAAAUGCGCAGAUAUCAGGAGGAACACCAGUGGCGAAGGCGGUGCUCUGGGCCGGUACUGACGCUGAGGAGCGAAAGCGUGGGUAGCAAACAGG